rnacentral:rRNA from 1 species
AUUGGCCUACGGGGCGCAGCAGUGGGGAAUAUUGGACAAUGGGGGGAACCCUGACCCAGCGACGCCGCGUGAGUGAAGAAGUAUUUCGGUAUGUAAAGCUCUAUCAGCAGGGAAGAAAGAAAUGACGGUACCUGACUAAGAAGCCCCGGCUAACUACGUGCCAGCAGCCGCGGUAAUACGUAGGGGGCAAGCGUUAUCCGGAUUUACUGGGUGUAAAGGGAGCGUAGACGGCAAUGCAAGUCUGGAGUGAAAGGCGGGGGCCCAACCCCCGGACUGCUCUGGAAACUGUAUAGCUGGAGUGCAGG